GUGAGCUAAACUAAACUAAUUAAAAUAAAAUAUCUUUAAUUAAAUAUUCUACGCAGAUUUUCCUCCUCCGUGAACUGCAAAUAAAUACCAAAUAAAUUCAAAUUGAUUCAAAAUAAGGAAAAGUGGAAAUUCGAAUCCUCCCCUCAACCCACGUUAAAAAAAACACUCCAUCUCUCCCCAAAUCUCUCCUAUAUCUGUAACCCCCUCUAUAAUAUUCACGUCACAAUCAUUCUUUCACCUAUUCAUUCUCUGCAACAAGAACACAAGAUUUCUUCUACUCAAUCAAAUUCAAGGUAAAUUCCGCAGAAAUUCCUCUCUAUUCUACAUGCUUUGAAAUCAACUCAUUCACUCUUCUCUACAGAAAACCAGAACUAAAAUCAGGGGAAGAUUAAUCAUCUAUUCUUUCACAAUCUGUCUGCAAAUUGAAGGUGAAUCCUCGCAAGUGAAUCGUGAUAUCAAGGGGAAGAAUGUACUUGAGAAUUAAGGAGUCGAGGUUGAGCGGCGACGAGAGUACGGUGGUGUUGAGCAAGUCAAUUGGUAAAUGAACUGUUGCUUUUGAAUUAUGGGUGUCGUUGUGUCUUCACACAUGACGUCACUCUUACUCUUGGUCGUUUCCGCUGUGACAUUUCUUUCACUUAUCGUUUAUUAGGCUUGCAACCUAAAUUAUUUGGAUAUUGAAUAUUUGGGAUUUUACCAAUUUAUGUCAAA